AAUGCCACCCCUGCUCUUCCUGGGGACUAGGAUUCCCAAGAAGCAUCCUCUCCAUCAGACCCCACCAAGCUGCUUCCACAUCCUGGGGUCAGCUCUGCUCCAAAGCUCCACUUUGAGGAGGCUUUGUGCUUUGUGAAUUAACAGUGACAAACUACAAGAUUUCACUCCUGAGAUGUUUGGGAUAGGCUGGUAAAUUGGACAUUGGACUGGCAACAUGACUGCAAAGGUGAUGGAAAGAAGAAGUUAUACUCAAGAAGAGCUCCUGGUAUCACCAAGGAGGAAUCUUUUCUACAUCUUAGAUUUAGGGAGAACUCAACUUUAGGAAACUGCUGCAGUUGUACACUGCAGAGAAAUCACUUUAUAGCCCAAAUAGCUAGCAGGAAAGAAACAUCAAAGGUACAAAAGACAAUCAGAUGUCAGAUCCCUGUUGACUUGCCAUGAAGACCAUGGCCUUUGCUGUCAAUUCAAACUUUGAAAAAUUCCCUCAGAAGGAGGACUACUACAGACACCUCUGGGAAAGCUAUUGUCUUUAGUAACUAUAAAGUACAGGCAGAAAUCUUAAAUUGUCUUAUCUGAGAGAUACUGAAUUUUAAAACUACAACUUCUUAAAAAGAAUUGGAAAAAAAAAAAAAACAACACAACCAAAUCAGGAGCAUUUCUCAGGGGAUGAAAUUCCCAAUUAUAGUGUCAAAGAAGGGAAUAUGUUCCAAUUUUUGUUCACAAUCUGAGCUGUAACAACAAGAACCAGAGGAACACAGAAAGGCUGGGAGACAGACUCCAAGUAACCGAGCUACCUGCCAAGGAAAUUCAAGUUCCUUGUGCAACUCAUCCAAAGCACUGCAAGCAGCCACAGAGGCAAGCUGGAAGAGCCUGUUCCCAAGCACCAUUGAAAUGAGCAUUUUCUAUGAUAAUAUGCUCACAUAAAUGAGCAUAUUCUAUGUUAUUCAUUUGCAUUUGACCAGUCCUGUGUAGCUCAGUGAGGAAUGUGUUCAUGCACCCCAGCAGUCAAGCUGGGGUGUUCAGUGUUUCCCUGCACUUCAUGAUGUAACACUUCAAAAAAAAAUCAGCCUCAGCACCAUUAGGACAUGAUUUGUUAAAGGCUCAUGGAUGUCUUUAUAUUGAUAUCAGUGUGUUUUAACA